UUGGUUAGACUUGAGCGCUGAAGCAGCAGACUAAAGUAACACAGCAGCUUUACCUUGUUUCCACAGUUUUGGAAAUAUAUGUCUUUUUACAGUACCUUCAGGUGUGAGGCAAGAAUUAAACAGGCUGAACCUGGAAGACUUCGUCUCUCAUUUGGAGAACUGUUUACCUGUCUGCCAAACUAAACACCUCCAGAAGGCGGCUUGGCUCUCAGGACAGCACUGAUCUUAAGCUCCCUCAGCUUAUUUCUGCAAAACGUCUGACUUUCCUGAAUACAAUGGAUAUAUCCUUUUCCUUCAACUCCUGUCUUUUUGUUUGUAAGCCAUAAAACAGAGCCGGUGUCACUACAGCCUUGUAAACUUUACUUUUCAUUUUUUCUAGAUAUCUAUCACAAGUCACUGUGUGGCUCUUCUCCACCAUUCAUUAGAACAGUUAACCCCAGAUAUUUAAACUAAUCUUCAUUCACCAGCUCUACUUCUUGUAAUUAACCCACCCCAUCUCAUUCACACCAAGCAGUAAGCUUUGAUGGUCUCAGAUGAAGUCCACCUAGAUGAAGAAAAAGUUGCACUUACUUGACUGGCCACUUGAGUCUGGCUCCAAAAGCGACCAGGUUCCCAUUCAAGUCCAUGUUAAAAUGUCCAACUGUAGAGCAGAAAUAUGUCUACAGCCUGGUACAAAAGAGUGGUCUUGUCUCUAUAGAUUGUCCCUCCUCCAUGACAGUUGCACAGGGGGUGAAUUUUUUUCUAACUUUUUAGUUUAAGAUGUUUUAACCCAUAAAGUUCUGCCUAAUUGGGGUGUGGUUGCUUUUAGUGGCAGUGGCUGAGCCCAGGAUCUCUGCCUCUUGUAAUGUCCAUCACUCACUGUCCGCUCACCGCGGCUGCUCGCUGUUGUGGAGGCCUGUGUCUUAUUGUUUGGUACAGUUUAUUACAAACACCUGUCAUAAUAUGGCUUGUUGUGUGGUGAAAUGUCCUAAUGGACCAUCUAAGACUUAGCGACUUCAUCCUUUAAGUCCAUUUAAUGCACAAUUACUGAGAAAAUAAGUGGCUCAUAACGUUGUAUGUCCACACCAAGGCAAACCAUUAUGAGAACCACCACACAGUCCCCAAAAGUAUGACUUAAACACCUGAACCGAGGUUCGUCUGUUAGCUUACCUGGUUCGGAUUUGAAGAUAGGGAUGUGUUUAGGCUUGGAUGAUGUCACACAUAAUUUUCCCGUGUGUCUACUUAUAUAUAUACUGCAGGUGCCAUAUGUGCAUGGAUGCCUCUUUGACUGUUUGGAAAUAUCCUACAUAUAUGGUCUAGCAAGAACACACUUGCGUGUUCUUGCUCCUACUCACUUUCAUUCUCCUUCUCUCCAGAGUUUACCUCCACCUCUCCAAGCUCACCUCAACCUGCUCUUUACUCUCAAUCUACAACCCCUGGCAAUAAUUAUGGAAUCACCGGCCUUGGAGGAUGUUCAUUCAGUUGUUUAAUUUUGUAGAAAAAAGCAGAUCAC